CGCGGCGGCCGUCUCCCUCAGUGGCCGCAGCGCCUCCCGUGAGAGCGGUUUCUCCUCCUUGUACUGCUGGACCUGGCCCCGUAUCUUCGUGGCAGAGGCCAAGCAAGGGGACUCCGAUGCCGGGGCGUAGGGGGGUUUGGGUCAAAGGAUGGGGGCAGAGUUCAAAGUGCAGGGGGCGGGCUCGUUUAAUGGCGAAGUCCUGGCACCGCGCCCCAGGGAGGAGGCUCCGGAGGCCAGUGGAACCCCGCUAGACUUCAGGGGUCUUGGUUGGGGACGCGGGGCGUUUUGACCCCCUAGGCCUGAGGAUCCUAGGCCUGAGUAACCCAUCGGAUUUGGAGGGAAGGGUGGGGUUUAGGUGAAAUGUAAAUACUGCGUGGUUUCCAUUUGGCAAAGAGCAAGCUUGUAAAGGGGUCACCCUCGGGUCUGGGCUGCGAAGUGCAGCCGGGACCUGUUUCCUUGGGAACCACAAGAUAAGACCGCUGUAGAUUGUUAUGUCCGGAAACCGCUUAUCAGAGCCCUGCACCUGGGUUGGAAAUGGAGACGGAUUCUCUGUGUCCAAGAAAAUCAGACCCUCCGGCCGGAAAAGGGAAGUUUAUUCUUACUGAUAAAAUGUCAAUCACUGUGUAUGAUUGUAAUGGGCAAGGAAGGCAUUUAGCGAGCUAGAAGACAUUGAUGGCUCAGAAAAAGGUGUCCUUGGCAAAAAUACUGUUUUCUGUUAAUUUUCCAACUGAUACCAUCUGGGUCUGUCCUCCCAGCCUGAUGAAUGUGUAGGCAGAUACUUUCUCAGUCGGAGUUGAUUUUUAUUAUCUUGAUUGCUGCAUCCUGUGCACAGAGGUUUUCUGCUCAGCUGGGCUUCAUCCUGGGGUCCCAGUCCUGGCCCCAAGCCUUAAUCAGCUCUCGGGUGAUAUUAGGCAAGUUGCCAAGCCCCUAAGUGCCUCAGUUUCCAGGUCUGUAAAAUACAUAACAUUACCUGCAUUUGUCAAAUAGUGCUGUGUGUGGAUUAUUAUUGGCAGCUCAUCAUCACCAUUAUCACCCUCCUGUAAACGUCUUGGACCCCUUAAGUGAAGACAGCAGGGUUACGGCGGAUAAAAUGAUGGACUUCAGAGAAAAGACUCUAAGACCAAAUAGAGUCUAAAGCAGUGAUUAUCAAAGAGGGGAGGAGAAAUUUUACGCCCAGGGGACACUGGACAAUGUCUGCAGACUUGGUUGUCACAACCGGGGAUGGGGUUGGGGCGACUGGCAUCCAGUGGAUGAGGAGGUCUAGGGUGCUGCUCAACACCCUGCAAUGAAUAGCACGCCAGUCUUUUGGAUUUGAGCCCACCUUAAUCUCAUUUUAAUCGAAUUGCCUCUUUAAAGGCCUAUCUUCAAAUACCUUCUGAGGUACUGUGGGUUAGGCCUUCACCUUACGGAUUUGUGGGGACGCAAUUCACCCGUUAACGCUAUACAUACACAAAAAUUCAUAGACUACACCUCAAAAGAAAAAUUCAACAUGACCAUAUAAUACUAUAAAAUAAAAGAAGAUGCAAUACCUGGUUUGGGGUUGGAUCUUCGGAGGACCAGCUGUAAAGACCAUUUGGGGUAUAAUUGAAGGAAAUACGAUUAUGGGCUAG
rnacentral:lncRNA from 1 species